AAGCUUAAAUUUAACCAAGGGGGCGUUCCGUAUGGACGUCUUUUUG
rnacentral:sRNA from 1 species